UGCUCCGGAUAUUAUGGCAUG
rnacentral:miRNA from 1 species